AGCAACAUGGCGCAGCGGAAGCGCGCCGGGCUCAUACCUAUUUCGGAAACUCAGCCGAGCCACUUCUUAGCUCGGCAAGUCUCGAAAAGGUCAAAGGGUACCCGGAGGGCGCUGGAUCGAAACCAGCUGUUGCUA